rnacentral:rRNA from 1 species
AUUGAACGCUGGCGGCAGGCUUAACACAUGCAAGUCGAGCGCGCGGCGGACGGGUGCGUAAUGUCCGGGAAACUGCCUGAUGGAGGGGGAUAACUACUGGAAACGGUAGCUAAUACCGCAUACCAUCGGAUGUGCCCAGAUGGGAUUAGCUAGUAGGUGGGGUAAAGGCUCAACUAGGAGACGAUCCCUAGCUGGUCUGAGAGGAUGACCAGCCACUCUGGAACUGAGACACGGUCCAGACUCCUACGGGAGGCAGCAGUGGUGAAUAUUGCACAAGUGGCGCAGUCCUGAUACAGCCAUGCCGCGUGUAUGAAGAAGGCAUUCGGGUUGUAGAGUACUUUCAGCGGUGAGGCGUUACCCGCAGAAGAAGCACCGGCUAACUCCGUGCCAGCAGCCGCGGUAAUAC